rnacentral:rRNA from 1 species
UACGGAGGUGGCGAGCGUUGUCCGAAGUUACUGGGCGUAAAGCGCGCGUAGGCGGGGGAUUAAGUGAGAAGUGAAAGGCUGGGGCUCAACUCCAUGCAGUGCUUCUCAUACUGGUCUUCUUGAGGGGGGUAGAGAGAAGUGGAAUGGCUGGUGUAGCGGUGAAAUGACGUAGAUAUCAGUCGGAACACCGGUGGCGAAGGCGGACUUCGUU